rnacentral:rRNA from 1 species
UGGGGAAUAUUGCACAAUGGGGGAAACCCUGAUGCAGCGACGCCGCGUGAGCGAAGAAGUAUUUCGGUAUGUAAAGCUCUAUCAGCAGGGAAGAAGAUGACGGUACCUGACUAAGAAGCUCCGGCUAAAUACGUGCC